AGCGGCGAACGGGUGAGUAAACGAGAGCAACCUGCCCCUAGCUCUGGGAUAGCUCCGGGAAACCGGGAUUAAUACCAGAUACGACCACUUUAGACAUCUGUUGUGGUGGAAAGGAUUCCGGCUAGGGAUGGGCUCGCGGCCAUCAGCUUGGUGGUGGGGUAACGGCCUACCAAGGCGACGACGGGUAGCCGGCCUGAGAGGGCGACCGGCCACACUGGGACUGAGACACGGCCCAGACUCCUACGGGAGGCAGCAGUGGGGAAUAUUGCGCAAUGGGCGAAAGCCUGACGCAGCGACGCCGCGUGGGGGAUGAAGGCCUUCGGGUUGUAAACCCCUUUCAGCAGGGACGAAGCGAGAGUGACGGUACCUGCAGAAGAAGCGCCGGCUAACUACGUGCCAGCAGCCGCGGUAACACGUAGGGCGCAAGCGUUGUCCGGAAUUAUUGGGCGUAAAGAGCUCGUAGGCGGUCUGUUGCGUCCGCUGUGAAAUCUCGGGGCUUAACCCCGAGCCUGCAGUGGA
rnacentral:rRNA from 1 species